GCACGGGGAGGAGGAGAGAGAGGGGGAGGUGGAGAGAGACAGGCACGGGGAGGAGGAGAGAGAGGAUGAGGUGGAGAGAGACAGGCAUGGGGAGGUGGAGAGAGGGCAUGAGGUGGAGAGAGACAGGCACGGGGAGGUGGAGAGAGGGCAUGAGGUGGAGAGAGAGAGGAUGAGGAAGAGAGAGAGAGGAUGAGGUGGAGAGAGAGAGGCACGGGGAGGAGGAGAGAGAGGAUGAGGUGGAGAGAGAGAGAGAGGAGCUCCAGCAUCAGACUAUGAGACCUGCCAAAUCACAAAUCUAUUUCCAACGUCGGUAUUAAUUAUCAAACUGAAGCCGCUGGUGCAU
ensembl:lncRNA